GGUAGUGUGGCCGAGAACCAGGCGGUGAGUUGUAGCCUCACAGAGGGAUGAAUUGGGCUGUCCUGCUACCA
rnacentral:tRNA from 1 species